rnacentral:rRNA from 1 species
CCUACGGGUGGCAGCAGUGAGGAAUAUUGGUCAAUGGGCGGGAGUCUGAACCAGCCAAGCAGCGUGAAGGAUGACGGCCCUGUGUAUUGUAAACUUCUUUUGUAAGGGAAUAAAACGAGGCACGUGUGCCUGUUUGCAUGUACUUGAUGAAUAAGGAUCGGCUAACUCCGUGCCAGCAGCCGCGGUAAUACGGAGGGUCCGAGCGUUAUCCGGAUUUAUUGGGUUUAAAGGGAGCGUAGAUGGGUGUUUAAGUCAGUUGGGAAAGGUUGGGGGGCAACCGUAGAAGUGCAAUUGAUACUGGCAGUCUUGAGUACAGGAGAGGUAGGCGGAAUUCGUGGUGUAGCGGUGAAAUGCUUAGAUAUCACGAAGAACCCCGAUUGCGAAGGCAGCUUACUAAACUGUGACUGACAUUGAUGCUCGAAAGUGUGGGUAUCAAACAGGAUUAGAUACCCUUGUAGUC